rnacentral:rRNA from 1 species
CUGGCAGUAAACGGUGCACGUUUGGUGUGGGCGCAAUCGACCGCGUCCGCGCCGGAGCUAACGCGUUAAACGUGCCGCCUGGGAAGUACGGUCGCAAGAUUAAAACUCAAAGAAAUUGACGGGGACCCGCACAAGCGGUG